rnacentral:tRNA from 1 species
GUGCCCGUAGCUCAGGUGGAUAGAGCACGGUCCUUCUAAGUCCGCGGUCGGGGGUUCGAAUCCCUCCGGGCACGCCA